rnacentral:misc_RNA from 1 species
GAUGAAGAACGUAGCGAAAUGGGAUAAGUAAUGUGAAUUGCAGAAUUCAGUGAAUCAUCGAAUCUUUGAACGCACAUUGCGCCCGCCAGUAUUCUGGCGGGCAUGCCUGUUCGAGCGUCAUUACAACCCUCAGGCCCCCGGGCCUGGCGUUGGGGAUCGGCGGAGCCCCCCGUGGGCACACGCCGUCCCCCAAAUGCAGUGGCGGUCCCGCCGCAGCUUCCAUCGCGUAGUAGCUAACACCUCGCGACUGGAGAGCGGCGCGGCCACGCCGUAAAACACCCAACUCUUCUGAAGUUGACCUCGAAUCAGGCAGGAAUACCCGCUGAACUUAAGCAUAUCAAUAAGCGGAGGA